rnacentral:rRNA from 1 species
GACGAACGCUGGCGGCGUGCUUAACACAUGCAAGUCGAACGGAAAGGCCCUGCUUUUGUGGGGUGCUCGAGUGGCGAACGGGUGAGUAACACGUGAGUAACCUGCCCUGGACUUUGGGAUAACUUCAGGAAACUGGGGCUAAUACCGGAUAGGAGCUCCUGCUGCAUGGUGGGGGUUGGAAAGUUUCGGCGGUUGGGGAUGGACUCGCGGCUUAUCAGCUUGUUGGUGGGGUAGUGGCUUACCAAGGCUUUGACGGGUAGCCGGCCUGAGAGGGUGACCGGCCACAUUGGGACUGAGAUACGGCCCAGACUCCUACGGGAGGCAGCAGUGGGGAAUAUUGCACAAUGGGCGGAAGCCCGAUGCAGCAACGCCGCGUGCGGGAUGACGGCCUUCGGGUUGUAAACCGCUUUCGCCUGUGACGAAGCGUGAGUGACGGUAAUGGGUAAAGAAGCACCGGCUAACUACGUG